AUACUGCAAGUCGCACGCGCAGCGAGAGGUGCUUGCACCUUUCAAGCGAGUGGCGAACGGGUGAGUAACACGUGGAUAACCUGCCUCAAGGCUGGGGAUAACAUUUGGAAACAGAUGCUAAUACCGAAUAAAACUUAGUAUCGCAUGAUAUCAAGUUAAAAGGCGCUACGGCGUCACCUAGAGAUGGAUCCGCGGUGCAUUAGUUAGUUGGUGGGGUAAAGGCUUACCAAGACAAUGAUGCAUAGCCGAGUUGAGAGACUGAUCGGCCACAUUGGGACUGAGACACGGCCCAAACUCCUACGGGAGGCUGCAGUAGGGAAUCUUCCACAAUGGGCGCAAGCCUGAUGGAGCAACGCCGCGUGUGUGAUGAAGGCUUUCGGGUCGUAAAGCACUGUUGUAUGGGAAGAAAUGCUAAAAUAGGGAAUGAUUUUAGUUUGACGGUACCAUACCAGAAAGGGACGGCUAAAUACGUGCCAGCAGCCGCGGUAAUACGUAUGUCCCGAGCGUUAUCCGGAUUUAUUGGGCGUAAAGCGAGCGCAGACGGUUGAUUAAGUCUGAUGUGAAAGCCCGGAGCUCAACUCCGGAAUGGCAUUGGAAACUGGUUAACUUGAGUGUUGUAGAGGUAAGUGGAACUCCAUGUGUAGCGGUGGAAUGCGUAGAUAUAUGGAAGAACACCAGUGGCGAAGGCGGCUUACUGGACAACAACUGACGUUGAGGCUCGAAAGUGUGGGUAGCAAACAGGAUUAGAUACCCUGGUAGUCCACACCGUAAACGAUGAAUACUAGGUGUUAGGAGGUUUCCGCCUCUUAGUGCCGAAGCUAACGCAUUAAGUAUUCCGCCUGGGGAGUACGACCGCAAGGUUGAAACUCAAAGGAAUUGACGGGGACCCGCACAAGCGGUGGAGCAUGUGGUUUAAUUCGAAGCAACGCGAAGAACCUUACCAGGUCUUGACAUCCUUUGAAGCUUUUAGAGAUAGAAGUGUUCUCUUCGGAGACAAAGUGACAGGUGGUGCAUGGUCGUCGUCAGCUCGUGUCGUGAGAUGUUGGGUUAAGUCCCGCAACGAGCGCAACCCUUAUUGUUAGUUGCCAGCAUUCAGUUGGGCACUCUAGCGAGACUGCCGGUGACAAACCGGAGGAAGGCGGGGACGACGUCAGAUCAUCAUGCCCCUUAUGACCUGGGCUACACACGUGCUACAAUGGCGUAUACAACGAGUUGCCAACCUGCGAAGGUGAGCUAAUCUCUUAAAGUACGUCUCAGUUCGGACUGCAGUCUGCAACUCGACUGCACGAAGUCGGAAUCGCUAGUAAUCGCGGAUCAGCACGCCGCGGUGAAUACGUUCCCGGGUCUUGUACACACCGCCCGUCACACCAUGGGAGUUUGUAAUGCCCAAAGCCGGUGGCCUAACCUUCGGGAGGGAGCCGU
rnacentral:rRNA from 1 species